rnacentral:rasiRNA from 1 species
UGAGAUGUACAAUGCUGCAGAGUU